UUGACACUAUUUUGCAGUCUCCACUCGAAACUGGUUUUGCAACUCCCCUCUCACUCUAUUUAUCGCUCACCCUCUCUCCCUCCAUCCCUCCCUCUUUCUCUCACGCUCACUCACUGUCCAGUUGACAACUCAUCUUUUUUCCUAUUCACAAUAUCUUUGUUGCACCCUCCAUCCUGCCCUCCCUCCCUCCCCUUCUCUCUUGCUCUCAGUAUCCAUCUGAGAGCAAGAGUGGUGUGCUUAUUUGCUUCUGCCUAAAUAUAUGUGCAUCUCUACCUCUCCCUCUCUCUUCCUCUCUGCUCAACACAGCCAAACACUGCCCUGCCUAACCACACAGGAGAUUUCUUCAACAAUUAUUUUGUGGAUUUUUUGUGCAGAAAUCUGAAAUGUGACAAACUCGAAUAAUUGGACCUUUUCUCGUUUUGUAUUUUUGCAUUUAGACAAUCGUAGAUUUUUUUUUGUGAUGAUUUGUUGAUUUUUGGUCAGAUUUUUGCCUCUUAAUCUGAGAGUGUAGAGAUUGGUAUGUUGUGUGUGUGACUGAGUGUUGGAGGUUUCAGUAAGAGCUGUGUCUGUAUCGCCCAGCAGCAUCAUCAUUUGUGUGAGCUGAGAGUGGAUGGAGUCCUAAUCCCCGUUAACAGAUUCAUUAUCGCUGGGCACAAUCGUGUCGCUGCCUUGUUGUAAAGUCGCCUGGCUGAGCGAUCUGCUGCCUGAAUGGGGUUCUGACAUGACGAUAAGGGUCCCUCUGGGGUGUCUUCUCAAUCCUAAUCCCUCUCUCUCCUCCCUCUCUCUCCUCUCUCUCUUGCGCUGAGGGCUCCUCUCUUAUCCAUCAACACAAGCACAUCUCCACUGUUACCAGACAACCAUCCAAUCACAGGCUGUUUAAUAUUUCAAAAACAGACCCUGUUAUUUAUUUACAUUUGACAUAUUUUUGGGGUUCAUGUCCCUAAACCUAUAUAUUUCAGGAUGAGUUAUUUUUCCAAGAGGAUCCAGCGCUGAUGUUUGGCAACGGUAUAGUGAGUGUGUAGAUAUUUGACAGAACACCAGAGAAGAGCAAGAGAUAGCAGAACACCCUCCCAACGCUACAGUCAAAGGGUGGAGGAGGGGGGGUUAGGCGAUAGACUAUGGCUGCCAUGGCGACCGUGCCCAACUACAGCCCUUCGCUAUGGGUGAGGAUGUGCCACGCCCUCCCCCGGCUGGACCUCACCAUGACGAUAAGAGACAACCUCUUCAUCCCCGACAGCUGGGAGUACCAACAGACUCUACUGGUCCUCUCUAGUCUCUCGGCCAUUGCUCUAGUUCUCUCCCUCCUCGUCAUUAUCUCCUUCCUUAUACACUACUGCUGCUGUCGCCGUGGUGACCGGAGCGAGGGAUCUGAGGAAGAGGAGGAGGAUGAAGAGGGCAGCACGGGCCACGGCUACGGAGGCAAGAAAGGGCGGGGUAUCUGCUGUGUCACCUGGGUGUCGGUGGCGGCUGUCACACUGUGCUGUGUUGCCAUAGGCGUUGGUUUCUAUGGCAACAGUGAGGCUAAUGAUGGGAUAUAUCAGUUGACCUCAUCUCUUCUCACAGCCAAUUACACACUGGCUUCCAUCGAUCUGCUGGUUUCAGACACGAUCUCUGGGCUACAGCAGUCCAUCGCUGGGCCCCUGACCACUAUGGAGGAGCUGUUUACAGGCAGUAAGCCUUAUUUGGUGUCCACCCGGAACUGUAGGAGACUGUCAGAGAACGUGGUGUCCCUGCUCACCUCUCUGACCAUGGCUCGCUCCUCUGAUGGGGGUGCCUGGAACAGCAGUAACAAUAGCGGAGAUCCUCCCAUAGCAGCCCUCACCCCUGUGCCCCCCUCCAUGGCCCCCACAGUGGCACCAGUCGGAGGGGUCAUGCCAAGCCCCUUCUCCCCUGGCUGGGCAGCCAACACACUGAUGGUCAACGAGGACUACAGGUGGCUGUCCUACGUGCUGCUGUUGCUGUUGGACCUCCUAGUGUGUCUGUUCAUCCUGCUGGGGCUAGCCAAACAGGCCCGCUGGCUCCUCAUUCUGAUGACGGUGCUGGCCUGGCUGGCUCUGUUCCUGAGCUGGGGAUCCCUGGGCCUGGAGACUGCCACUGUGGUGUCUGUCAGUGACUUCUGUACAGAUCCUAACACCUUUGUGCUCAACUCCACCCACUUCAACUCUGGGACCAGCUCAGACGUGUUGGAUUAUUACCUGACCUGCAGCAGACGUAUGAACAGCCCUUUCCAGCAGCUGCUGACCCAGUCACAGAGGGCCCUUUCCAGCAUCCACACACACCUAUCCAGCCUGGACCGGAAUGCUCUCCCACAGGUCCCCAAGGCAGAGAAGUCACUCAGGGAGGUUCAGCAGAUUCACAAUGCCACAGAGGGCAACUUUCACCAGCUGGUGGCGCUACUCCACUGUCGAGGUCUCAACAAGGAUUAUAUUGACUCUUUGAAAGGCCUGUGCUCUGACGGGAUGGAGGGAUUGCUCUACCUCUCCCUCUACUCUUUCCUUUCGGCUCUGGCCUUCACUGCCAUCCUCUGUUCCCUGCCCGGCGCCUGGAGAAGCUUCCCCAGUGAUUCCGAGGAGUAUGAAGAUUCGGACAGCGAGAGCGAGGACCCCUUCACUUCCCAUCAGGCACGUAGACAGCCGGCCGCGGGGUCUCAGCGAGGGGCCUUGCCCCCCUUCUAUAAUUACCAGGGAGCCGGGUGGACUCCUCCCUUUUCUAGUGCGCCACCCCUCCCGACUCCAAACGUUUCCUCCAAUGGCAACCCUGGCUAUGAGAGCCUACCCCUGACUGACAGGCAGUCCCCACCCCCCUCUCAUUACCAUCCCAGUCCUAACUUUUACAACAGUCCCUGGUGCUUGUGGUAGAAGUUGCCACCAUCCACCUCUGAUCUGGGAUCAGAUUACCUGACACCCAUUCCUAACCUUAACCAUUUGGAGGUAAAGACCCUGGAUCAGUGGUUGUGGAUAACUUCUACCUCCUCUACCCCUGUUGUUAGGGGAAUAACGUGACCAUUACUCUCCCAGCAUGCUGACUGGUUACGGGGGUAGUCAAACACACCCCAACUCCGCCCAUUCAAGGAACCUGUAUUCACGCUAAUUAUUUUUUGUUUAAAAAAUUCGAUUUAUUUUUAUUUUUUAUGAAUGGACACUUUACUGAGAUGAAGAAAAAAUAACUAAUCCCCCAAAAUUGAGCUUUAGAUAUAAAUUAAAGGUGCGUAACAUCAGUACCAAGAAGGUUGAAUGGCCUGCUGUAGAACCUCACAGUAAACUAAUGUCAGAUAGAUACAGUAGGUAGCAUGAUUAUGAAGAGGUCUGAACCAGGUUCACUCAGUCAAAGUCACCCCUUUACAAUCCCCCUUGUCUGUCCAGUGUCAGUUGCGAGGUGAGCCAUAAUCGUAUUGACGUUAUGACAUUGUAGUUCUGUUUUUUAAAUGUAGCACCAAUUUAUUUUCACAUUUUUAUAUCUAUAUCUUGUUGUAGAGAAACACUGACACAUAGAAACAAGACACAUUUUUGGUUGAAUGAAUAUGCAGUCUCCUCACUUGGUAUUCAACGUGCAAUUUUUAUUUGAUUUACUUUUUAUAGGUGAAAAUUCUGUACCUCCCUUGUAUUACCUUCUGAUACUAUACAUUUCACUGUUGAUGACAUUAUCUAAAUCAGGGAUGGGCAACUCCUGUCCUUGGGGCCGGAGUGGUGAAUAAACUAAUUGCGUUCUAAACUGAAGAUCAUGAUUAGGUGAUUAUUGGAGUCCGGUGCAGAAGGGAUACCAAGUCCCCAAGGACUGGAGUUGCCCAUCCCCUCAUGAAACUUUGCUCUUAGAAAAGAACAUUCAAGAGAGGGCUAUAGUACAAACCUCUCUGUAGGCUGAAUGGAGAACUACAACUCCCAUCCAACCUCGAGACCGUUAGAGAACUACAAAUCCCAUGCAAUGACAGCAGGCACAAAGCAAUAAAACUCCUGCCACUGGUGCAGCAGUAGCCCUACCAUAAAUAGCAAUAAUAACUAUAUAGCAGUGGGUUUCUGGGGUCUCUAUAGGAUGUUAUGUACAUAUGUGAUGUCAGAUUUCAUUGAACACCCUCCUUGCCUACUGCCCUUGUUAACCCUUGAAUUGCGUUUGUAUGGUAAUAAUCAAUGCUCCUUUUGAAUGGCAUCCUUUUUCACUCCAGAGUCUAAUAUAAAUAAAAUAAUAACAAUUAAUAAAGUUUGGCCUUAUUUAAAUCA